rnacentral:rRNA from 1 species
GGUUAAGCGACUAAGCGUACACGGUGGAUGCCCUGGCAGUCAGAGGCGAUGAAGGACGUGCUAAUCUGCGAUAAGCGUCGGUAAGGUGAUAUGAACCGUUAUAACCGGCGAUUUCCGAAUGGGGAAACCCAGUGUGUUUCGACACACUAUCAUUAACUGAAUCCAUAGGUUAAUGAGGCGAACCGGGGGAACUGAAACAUCUAAGUACCCCGAGGAAAAGAAAUCAACCGAGAUUCCCCCAGUAGCGGCGAGCGAACGGGGAGCAGCCCAGAGCCUGAAUCAGUGUGUGUGUUAGUGGAAGCGUCUGGAAAGGCGCGCGAUACAGGGUGACAGCCCCGUACACAAAAAUGCACAUGCUGUGAGCUCGAUGAGUAGGGCGGGACACGUGGUAUCCUGUCUGAAUAUGGGGGGACCAUCCUCCAAGGCUAAAUACUCCUGACUGACCGAUAGUGAACCAGUACCGUGAGGGAAAGGCGAAAAGAACCCCGGCGAGGGGAGUGAAAAAGAACCUGAAACCGUGUACGUACAAGCAGUGGGAGCACGCUUAGGCGUGUGACUGCGUACCUUUUGUAUAAUGGGUCAGCGACUUAUAUUCUGUAGCAAGGUUAACCGAAUAGGGGAGCCGAAGGGAAACCGAGUCUUAACUGGGCGUUAAGUUGCAGGGUAUAGACCCGAAACCCGGUGAUCUAGCCAUGGGCAGGUUGAAGGUUGGGUAACACUAACUGGAGGACCGAACCGACUAAUGUUGAAAAAUUAGCGGAUGACUUGUGGCUGGGGGUGAAAGGCCAAUCAAACCGGGAGAUAGCUGGUUCUCCCCGAAAGCUAUUUAGGUAGCGCCUCGUGAAUUCAUCUCCGGGGGUAGAGCACUGUUUCGGCAAGGGGGUCAUCCCGACUUACCAACCCGAUGCAAACUGCGAAUACCGGAGAAUGUUAUCACGGGAGACACACGGCGGGUGCUAACGUCCGUCGUGAAGAGGGAAACAACCCAGACCGCCAGCUAAGGUCCCAAAGUCAUGGUUAAGUGGGAAACGAUGUGGGAAGGCCCAGACAGCCAGGAUGUUGGCUUAGAAGCAGCCAUCAUUUAAAGAAAGCGUAAUAGCUCACUGGUCGAGUCGGCCUGCGCGGAAGAUGUAACGGGGCUAAACCAUGCACCGAAGCUGCGGCAGCGACACUAUGUGUUGUUGGGUAGGGGAGCGUUCUGUAAGCCUGUGAAGGUGUACUGUGAGGUAUGCUGGAGGUAUCAGAAGUGCGAAUGCUGACAUAAGUAACGAUAAAGCGGGUGAAAAGCCCGCUCGCCGGAAGACCAAGGGUUCCUGUCCAACGUUAAUCGGGGCAGGGUGAGUCGACCCCUAAGGCGAGGCCGAAAGGCGUAGUCGAUGGGAAACAGGUUAAUAUUCCUGUACUUGGUGUUACUGCGAAGGGGGGACGGAGAAGGCUAUGUUGGCCGGGCGACGGUUGUCCCGGUUUAAGCGUGUAGGCUGGUUUUCCAGGCAAAUCCGGAAAAUCAAGGCUGAGGCGUGAUGACGAGGCACUACGGUGCUGAAGCAACAAAUGCCCUGCUUCCAGGAAAAGCCUCUAAGCAUCAGGUAACAUCAAAUCGUACCCCAAACCGACACAGGUGGUCAGGUAGAGAAUACCAAGGCGCUUGAGAGAACUCGGGUGAAGGAACUAGGCAAAAUGGUGCCGUAACUUCGGGAGAAGGCACGCUGAUAUGUAGGUGAAGUCCCUUGCGGAUGGAGCUGAAAUCAGUCGAAGAUACCAGCUGGCUGCAACUGUUUAUUAAAAACACAGCACUGUGCAAACACGAAAGUGGACGUAUACGGUGUGACGCCUGCCCGGUGCCGGAAGGUUAAUUGAUGGGGUUAGCGCAAGCGAAGCUCUUGAUCGAAGCCCCGGUAAACGGCGGCCGUAACUAUAACGGUCCUAAGGUAGCGAAAUUCCUUGUCGGGUAAGUUCCGACCUGCACGAAUGGCGUAAUGAUGGCCAGGCUGUCUCCACCCGAGACUCAGUGAAAUUGAACUCGCUGUGAAGAUGCAGUGUACCCGCGGCAAGACGGAAAGACCCCGUGAACCUUUACUAUAGCUUGACACUGAACAUUGAGCCUUGAUGUGUAGGAUAGGUGGGAGGCUUUGAAGUGUGGACGCCAGUCUGCAUGGAGCCGACCUUGAAAUACCACCCUUUAAUGUUUGAUGUUCUAACGUGGACCCGUGAUCCGGGUUGCGGACAGUGUCUGGUGGGUAGUUUGACUGGGGCGGUCUCCUCCUAAAGAGUAACGGAGGAGCACGAAGGUUGGCUAAUCCUGGUCGGACAUCAGGAGGUUAGUGCAAUGGCAUAAGCCAGCUUGACUGCGAGCGUGACGGCGCGAGCAGGUGCGAAAGCAGGUCAUAGUGAUCCGGUGGUUCUGAAUGGAAGGGCCAUCGCUCAACGGAUAAAAGGUACUCCGGGGAUAACAGGCUGAUACCGCCCAAGAGUUCAUAUCGACGGCGGUGUUUGGCACCUCGAUGUCGGCUCAUCACAUCCUGGGGCUGAAGUAGGUCCCAAGGGUAUGGCUGUUCGCCAUUUAAAGUGGUACGCGAGCUGGGUUUAGAACGUCGUGAGACAGUUCGGUCCCUAUCUGCCGUGGGCGCUGGAGAACUGAGGGGGGCUGCUCCUAGUACGAGAGGACCGGAGUGGACGCAUCACUGGUGUUCGGGUUGUCAUGCCAAUGGCACUGCCCGGUAGCUAAAUGCGGAAGAGAUAAGUGCUGAAAGCAUCUAAGCACGAAACUUGCCCCGAGAUGAGUUCUCCCUGACUCCUUGAGAGUCCUGAAGGAACGUUGAAGACGACGACGUUGAUAGGCCGGGUGUGUAAGCGCAGCGAUGCGUUGAGCUAACCGGUACUAAUGAACCGUGAGGCUUAACCUU